ACCCGCUGAACUUAAGCAUAUCAAUAAGCGGAGGAAAAGAAACUAACAAGGAUUCCCCUAGUAACGGCGAGCGAAGCGGGAAGAGCUCAAAUUUGAAAGCUGGCGUCUUCGGCGUCCGCGUUGUAAUCUCGAGACGUGUUUUCCGUGCGGCUCUAUGGACAAGUCCCUUGGAACAGGGCAUCGUAGAGGGUGAAAAUCCCGUACUUGCCAUGGAAGUACCGUGCUUUGUGAUACACGCUCCAAGAGUCGAGUAGUUUGGGAUUGCUGCUCAAAGUGGGUGGUAGACUCCAUCUAAAGCUAAAUAUCGGGGAGAGACCGAUAGCGAACAAGUACCGUGAGGGAAAGAUGAAAAGCACUUUGGAAAGAGAGUUAAAAGUACGUGAAAUUGUCGAAAGGGAAGCACUUGAAGUCAGCCAUGCUGCUUGAGACUCAGCCUGGCUUUUGCUUGGUGUAUUUCUCGGUAGCAAGCCAGCAUUGGUUUGUGUCGUCGGAGAAGCGUAUGGGGAAUGUGGCAUCCUCGGAUGUGUUAUAGCCCUGUGCAGGAUACGACGACGUAGACCAAGGAACGCAGUGUGCCCUCUGGGCGGGUCUUCGGACACCUUCACACUUAGGAUGCUGGCGUAAUGGCUUUAAGUGGCCCGUCUUGAAACACGGACCAAGGAG
rnacentral:rRNA from 1 species